AUUGAACGCUGGCGGCAGGCUUAACACAUGCAAGUCGAGCGGAGAGAGGUAGCUUGCUACUGAUCUUAGCGGCGGACGGGUGAGUAAUGCUUAGGAAUCUGCCUAUUAGUGGGGGACAACAUUUCGAAAGGAAUGCUGAUACCGCAUACGUCCUACGGGAGAAAGCAGGGGAUCUUCGGACCUUGCGCUAAUAGAUGAGCCUAAGUCGGAUUAGCUAGUUGGUGGGGUAAAGGCCUACCAAGGCGACGAUCUGUAGCGGGUCUGAGAGGAUGAACCGCAAGACGGGGACUGGGCAGCAGCCCAGACUGCUACGAGAGGAAGGAGUGUGGAAGAUUGGGCAAUGGUCGAAGGCCUGAUCCGGCAAUGCCGCGUGAGUGAUGAAGGCCCUGGGGUUGUAAAGCUCGGUCGGGAGGGACGAACGGUCUCGGGUAACGCCGAGGAUUGACGGUACCUCCAAAGGAAGCACCGGCUAACUCUGUGCCAGCCGCCGCAGUAAAAC
rnacentral:rRNA from 1 species